rnacentral:rRNA from 1 species
AGUGAACGCUGGCGGUAGGCCUAACACAUGCAAGUCGAACGGCAGCACAGUAAGAGCUUGCUCUUACGGGUGGCGAGUGGCGGACGGGUGAGGAAUACAUCGGAAUCUACUUUUUCGUGGGGGAUAACGUAGGGAAACUUACGCUAAUACCGCAUACGACCUACGGGUGAAAGCAGGGGAUCUUCGGACCUUGCGCGAUUGAAUGAGCCGAUGUCGGAUUAGCUAGUUGGCGGGGUAAAGGCCCACCAAGGCGACGAUCCGUAGCUGGUCUGAGAGGAUGAUCAGCCACACUGGAACUGAGACACGGUCCAGACUCCUACGGGAGGCAGCAGUUGGGAAUAUUUGACCAUGGGCGCAAGCCUGAUCCAGCCAUACCGCGUUGGUGAAGAAGGCCUUCGGGUUGUAAAGCCCUUUUGUUGGGAAAGAAAAGCAGCAGGUUAAUACCCCGCUGUUCUGACGGUACCCAAAGAAUAAGCACCGGCUAACUUCGUG